AGAGUUUGAUCUGGCUCAGGAUGAACGCUGGCGGCGUGCCUAAUACAUGCAAGUCGAACGCGGGCACUUGUGCCCGAGUGGCGAACGGGUGAGUAAUACAUAAGUAACCUGGCCUUUACAGGGGGAUAACUGCUGGAAACGGCAGCUAAGACCGCAUAGGUAGGGACACUGCAUGGUGACCGUAUUAAAAGUGCUGCAAGGCACUGGUAGAGGAUGGACUUAUGGCGCAUUAGCUGGUUGGUGAGGUAACGGCUCACCAAGGCGACGAUGCGUAGCCGACCUGAGAGGGUGACCGGCCACACUGGGACUGAGACACGGCCCAGACUCCUACGGGAGGCAGCAGUAGGGAAUUUUCGGCAAUGGGGGGAACCCUGACCGAGCAACGCCGCGUGAAGGAAGAAGGAAUUCGUUCUGUAAACUUCUGUUAUAAAGGAAGAAAGACGGAUGGAGGAAACGACAUCCGAGUGACGGUACUUUAUGAGAAAGCCACGGCUAACUACGUGCCAGCAGCCGCGGUAAUACGUAGGUGGCAAGCGUUAUCCGGAAUUAUUGGGCGUAAAGAGGGAGCAGGCGGCAGCAAAGGUCUGUGGUGAAAGACUGAAGCUUAACUUCAGUAAGCCAUAGAAACCGGGCAGCUAGAGUGCAGGAGAGGAUCGUGGAAUUCCAUGUGUAGCGGUGAAAUGCGUAGAUAUAUGGAGGAACACCAGUGGCGAAGGCGACGAUCUGGCCUGCAACUGACGCUCAGUCCCGAAAGCGUGGGGAGCAAAUAGGAUUAGAUACCCUAGUAGUCCACGCCGUAAACGAUGAGUACUAAGUGUUGGAAGUCAAAUUUCAGUGCUGCAGUUAACGCAGUAAGUACUCCGCCUGAGUAGUACGUUCGCAAGAAUGAAACUCAAAGGAAUUGACGGGGGCCCGCACAAGCGGUGGAGCAUGUGGUUUAAUUCGAAGCAACGCGAAGAACCUUACCAGGUCUUGACAUACUCAUAAAGGAUCCAGAGAUGGAUAGAUAGUUAUAUGAGAUACAGGUGGUGCAUGGUUGUCGUCAGCUCGUGUCGUGAGAUGUUGGGUUAAGUCCCGCAACGAGCGCAACCCUUGUCGUUAGUUACCAUCAUUAAGUUGGGGACUCUAGCGAGACUGCCAGUGACAAGCUGGAGGAAGGCGGGGAUGACGUCAAAUCAUCAUGCCCCUUAUGACCUGGGCUACACACGUGCUACAAUGGAUGGUGCAGAGGGAAGCGAAGCCGCGAGGCGAAGCAAAACCCAUAAAACCAUUCUCAGUUCGGAUUGUAGUCUGCAACUCGACUACAUGAAGUUGGAAUCGCUAGUAAUCGCGAAUCAGCAUGUCGCGGUGAAUACGUUCUCGGGCCUUGCAC
rnacentral:rRNA from 1 species